rnacentral:rRNA from 1 species
UACGUAGGGUCCGAGCGUUGUCCGGAAUUACUGGGCGUAAAGAGCUCGUAGGUGGUUUGUCGCGUUGUUCGUGAAAACUCACAGCUUAACUGUGGGCGUGCGGGCGAUACGGGCAGACUUGAGUACUGCAGGGGAGACUGGAAUUCCUGGUGUAGCGGUGGAAUGCGCAGAUAUCAGGAGGAACACCGGUGGCGAAGGCGGUUCUCUGGGCCUGUACUGACGCUGAGGAGCGAAAGCGUGGGGAGCAAACAGG